UGGCCUAACACAUGCAAGUCGAACGGCUCUUCGGAGCAGUGGCGGACGGGUGAGUAACGCGUGGGAACGUGCCCAAAGGUACGGAACAACUGAGGGAAACUUCAGCUAAUACCGUAUGUGCCCUUAGGGGGAAAGAUUUAUCGCCUUUGGAGCGGCCCGCGUUGGAUUAGCUAGUUGGUGGGGUAAAGGCCCACCAAGGCUACGAUCCAUAGCUGGUCUGAGAGGAUGAUCAGCCACACUGGGACUGAGACACGGUCCAGACUCCUACGGGAGGCAGCAGUAGGGAAUCUUGCGCAAUGGGCGAAAGCCUGACGCAGCCAUGCCGCGUGAAUGAUGAAGGUCUUAGGAUUGUAAAAUUCUUUCACCGGGGAAGAUAAUGACGGUACCCGGAGAAGAAGCCCCGGCUAACUUCGUGCCAGCAGCCGCGGUAAUACGAAGGGGGCUAGCGUUGCUCGGAAUUACUGGGCGUAAAGGGCGCGUAGGCGGACAGUUUAGUCAGAGGUGAAAGCCCAGGGCUCAACCUUGGAAUUGCCUUUGAUACUGGCUGUCUUGAGUUCGGGAGAGGUGAGUGGAAUGCCGAGUGUAGAGGUGAAAUUCGUAGAUAUUCGGCGGAACACCAGUGGCGAAGGCGACUCACUGGCCCGAUACUGA
rnacentral:rRNA from 1 species